rnacentral:rRNA from 1 species
GUCCGCAAGGACAAUUUGAUAAUUGACCUCAAAUCAGUACGACUUAGGCGACGCCGUU